rnacentral:lncRNA from 1 species
AUUUGAAGGUUGACUUUUUUUGUAUUAAAAACACUUUUCUUUUAUUGGUCGGAUGAAAUAUGCAAAUUUUUUGAGAUAGGAAUUUUGGGUUUUCAUGAGCUGUACGCCAAAAUCAUCAGUAUUAAAACAAUAAAAGACCUGAAAUAUUUCAGUUGGUGUGCAAUGAAUCUAAAAUAUAUGAAAGUUUAAUUUUAUCAUUACAUUAUGGAAAAUAAUGAACUUUUAUCACAAUAUGCUAAUUUUUUGAGAAGGACCUGUACAUGGAAAAUGAUCUUUACUUAAUAUCCUGAUUUUUUGUAAAAGAAAAUGGAUAAUUUUGACACAUACAAUAUAUUGUUGUCUAUUGCUACAAAUAUACCCAUGUGUCACGAUCUGCCUAUUGUGUAGGAGCACGAAGAGAAGAAGCAAGGAGACGCGGAGACAUGGGAGAAUCUUCGAAGAGUUUUUAAUAAACAAAACCAGGGUUACACACAAAUAGGACAUGGAGAUGAUGUUUAAUACUGGAUGCAGGACUCAGGAAAACACAGGGCUUAAAUACAUGAACUAAAUGGGGAACACCUGGAAUCAAUGAACACAGGAAAAACUGGGUCAUGGGGAGCAAAACACAAGACACAGAACACAGGGGCAGUCCAAGGGACGUGACAUUACCUCCCCCUCCUGGAAGGCGCGUCUACACGCCUCUUGACGUCAAACGAGGAGUUGGGGGGUGCCCUGGAGGCCUCUAAGGACUGGCCUACACAAGAAGGACAGCCUCCAGGGUGGUACCCAUUCCGGGACCCAUGGCGGAGCAGACAGUCCAGGCAGCCAUGGCGGAGCAGGCAGACUAGGAAGCCAUGGUAGAGCAGACAGUUUAGGAGGCCACGGUGGAGCAGACAGUUCAGGGGGUCAGGUGGGAGCAGACAGUUUAGGAGGCCACGGUGGAGCAGACAGUUCAGGGGGUCAGGUGGGAGCAGACAGUUCAGGGGGCACUCAGCACUCAGCCCAGCCUCUACGUGGGAACAGGAGCCCUAUCUGGCCUGGACGUGAGAACAGGAGCAGAAAAGCAUUUUUCGAAACACACUAAAAAUAAUGCAAAUUAAUACACUGAAAAAUAACACAGAAAAGACAAGACAAAAAAAAAAAAAACAAAACAAACAAAAACAAAACCUAUAGAACCAUCACAGAAAAUUCUAAUGGUUUCCACUACAAAUACAAAUACCAUUACAAAUAUUACAAACCAUCAACUUUUAAGACUGUGGAGCAGCCGAUGGACUUGACAAUCGAACGGCUGCGGCUUGAGAGUGCAGCGGCCUUGACUUCUGAGUGGCUUGAUGGCGGGCUGGUACUGAAUCGAGGCCAGACACUCUCCAGACACCGGAGGAUACCUUCUCUCCAGCUCAGUCCAGUGGUGUCUGGGAGGUCCACGGGGCGAUGGUAGUUGGCUCCGAUCCAGAACAGUGAAUUCAGUGUUGCGUCAUUCAAAGCUGUGAUCACCGCGAGUACGCAGAAUUCCCGGGCGAAUUCCACAAAGGGUAGGUCCUUCCGGGCUAGGGCGGCGAAUCUUGCAGCGCUUUCCUCGGAGGAAACAGCUGCUUCACAUUUCCUUCAUAGUAAUCAUAACAUCUGCACUGCAGAAGAAUCACAACCUUGUCACAGUUUAACAUUUUGUUACAACAGAUGGAGUUCUUGUAUGUUUAUCCAUCUGGAGGUCAGUAUGUUGCACAGAUGCCUCCUCACAAUAUAUCGGAGAAGACAUCAAAUACUGAACAGCAGAUACACUUACAC